UUUCCGUAGGUGAACCUGCGGAAGGAUCAUUCACGAUACAGGGUUUUAGGGGACUUUCUAAACAUCCAUAUCUAUCUUGUGUGAAAGGUUAGAUCUCGACAAUCUUGGCAAGAACCGUCUAAAUCAACUCAUCCUGCAACUAAUUUCUCUGAAGAAUAUUAUGAAUCCUUAAUUCUAAAUACAACUAUCAACAACGGAUCUCUUGGCUCUCGCAUCGAAAAAGAAAGCAGCAAACCGCAGAAGCCCUCGUUCGAACACCGGUCACGAAUGCAGAACUGG
rnacentral:misc_RNA from 1 species